CAGGAGGAACCGCCCCUGCACUGCAGAGGGGCCAUGACAAAGGUCAAAACUGUUUUUGAGUUUUGUCUCAAUUCUUCAUAACUUCGCCUGGUGGAACCAGCCUGAUCACUGUGUUCACCAUUCUAUUUCACUUCACAUUUUCUGAUAUCUGAAGUGUGUGAAAGAGAGAGAGAAAGAAAGAGAGACAGAAAUGAGUGGUCAGAGGCUGAUCUACUAUGCCCAUCAAUGAGGCUCUGGCAAAGACCUCACCUCUUGCCUGCUCACCAACGGUCGUUGAUGGGGAGACCAGAACUAGUACGAAUCGAAAUCAUGUGACCGUUUUCAUCUUCAUCUCCCCAAAUCGGCGGAUCUUUGUUCAACAACACCCUCGGCAGACCUCCACUGACCAUCCCACCCGCUGACUGCAGCUGUAGCUGACAUAUUGAAUGUCUCACAUGCUGCUUGUUUGGCCCCACUGGCAGUUUAAAGCGUUGACAGGCAGUAGACGUGAGCCACGGGCAGCAGAUCCCCCGGGUUCCUCCGUUAAAGAACCAGUGCAGUGGGAUAGCUAGUACUCCUAGACCGACAGCAAGCCUUGGCCAGCAGCAUAACACCCUGCAUCCCAUUGCUGGCUUGCUUCUGAAGCUAAGCAGUGUUGGUCCUGGAUGGAAGACCAGAUGCUGCUGGAAGUGGUGUCGGAGGGCCAGUAGGAGGCACUCUUUCCUCUGGUGUAAAAUAAAAUAUCCUAAUUCCCCAG
rnacentral:lncRNA from 1 species